AGAGUUUGAUCCUGGCUCAGGACGAACGCUGGCGGCGUGCUUAACACAUGCAAGUCGAGCGAGAGAGUUUUCUUCGGAAAACAAUCUAGCGGCGGACGGGUGAGUAACACGUGGGUAACCUGCCUCAUAGAGGGGGAUAGCCUCCCGAAAGGGAGAUUAAUACCGCAUAACAUCAUUUUAGCGCAUGCUGAAAUGAUCAAAGGAGUAAUCCGCUAUGAGAUGGACCCGCGGCGCAUUAGCUAGUUGGUGAGGUAACGGCUCACCAAGGCCACGAUGCGUAGCCGACCUGAGAGGGUGAUCGGCCACAUUGGGACUGAGACACGGCCCAGACUCCUACGGGAGGCAGCAGUGGGGAAUAUUGCACAAUGGGGGAAACCCUGAUGCAGCAACGCCGCGUGAGUGAUGACGGCCUUCGGGUUGUAAAGCUCUGUCUUUAAGGGACGAUAAUGACGGUACCUAAGGAGGAAGCCACGGCUAACUACGUGCCAGCAGCCGCGGUAAUACGUAGGUGGCAAAGCGUUGUCCGGAUUUACUGGGCGUAAAGGGAGCGUAGGUGGAUUCUUAAGUGAGAUGUGAAAUACCCGGGCUUAACUUGGGUGCUGCAUUUCAAACUGGGAAUCUAGAGUGCAGGAGAGGAAAGUGGAAUUCCUAGUGUAGCGGUGAAAUGCGUAGAGAUUAGGAAGAACACCAGUGGCGAAGGCGACUUUCUGGACUGUAACUGACACUGAGGCUCGAAAGCGUGGGGAGCAAACAGGAUUAGAUACCCUGGGUAGUCCACGCCGUAAACGAUGGAUACUAGGUGUGGGAGGUAUCAACUCCUUCCGUGCCGCCGUUAACACAUUAAGUAUCCCGCCUGGGGAGUACGGUCGCAAGAUUAAAACUCAAAGGAAUUGACGGGGACCCGCACAAGCAGCGGAGCAUGUGGUUUAAUUCGAAGCAACGCGAAGAACCUACCUAGACUUGACAUCUCCUGAAUUACUCUUAAUCGAGGAAGUCCCUUCGGGGACAGG
rnacentral:rRNA from 1 species